GGCUUGGUGGUGUAGUUGGUUUAUCACGUCAGUCUUACAUCACGUGAUUCCGAUUGCGUUUCCUGUGUGCACUGAAGGUCCCGAGUUCGAGCCUCGGCCGAGUCA